rnacentral:rRNA from 1 species
UACGUAGGUGGCAAGCGUUGUCCGGAAUUAUUGGGCGUAAAGCGCGCGCAGGCGGUCCUUUAAGUCUGAUGUGAAAGCCCUCGGCUCAACCGAGGAAGGUCAUUGGAAACUGGAGGACUUGAGUGCAGAAGAGGAAAGUGGAAUUCCAAGUGUAGCGGUGAAGUGCGUAGAGAUUUGGAGGAACACCAGUGGCGAAGGCGACUUUCUGGUCUGUAACUGACGCUGAGGCGCGAAAGCGUGGGGAGCAAACAGG